UAGGGAAUCUUCCGCAAUGGACGAAAGUCUGACGGAGCAACGCCGCGUGAGUGAAGAAGGAUUUCGGUUCGUAAAACUCUGUUGUUAGGGAAGAAAAAAUGUAUAGUAACUAUAUACAAAAGAGACGGUACCUAACCAGAAAGCCACGGCUAACUACGUGCCAGCAGCCGCGGUAAUACGUAGGUGGCAAGCGUUGUCCGGAAUUAUUGGGCGUAAAGCGCGCGCAGGUGGUUUAGAAAGUCUGUUGUGAAAGCCCACGGCUCAACCGUGGGGGGUCAGUGGAAACUAAUACACUUGAGUGCAGGGGAGAAAAGUGGAAUUCCUAGUGUAGCGGUGAAAUGCGUAGAGAUUAGGAGGAGCACCGGUGGCGAAAGCGGCUUUUUGGCCUGCAACUGACACUGAGGCGCGAAAGCAUGGGGAGCAAACAAG
rnacentral:rRNA from 1 species